rnacentral:rRNA from 1 species
UACGGGGGGGGCAAGCGUUGUUCGGAAUUACUGGGCGUAAAGGGCUCGUAGGCGGCCAACUAAGUCAGACGUGAAAUCCCUCGGCUUAACCGGGGAACUGCGUCUGAUACUGGAUGGCUUGAAUCCGGGAGAGGGAUGCGGAAUUCCUGGUGUAGCGGUGAAAUGCGCAGAUAUCAGGAGGAACACCAGCGGCGAAGGCGGCGCUCUGGGCCGGUACUGACACUGAGGAGCGAAAGCGUGGGUAGCAAACAGG